AUUUUUAUUAUCUAAUACUAUUUGAAUUUAAAUUUUUGCAUCAAUUGCUAUUUUGUAUGUCACAAACACUUUAUUAUAUGUUUUUAUUAUUUAGUUGAAAAUAAUUUCAAAUCAAGACCAAAUGUGGUGGCACACACCUGUAAUCCUAGUACUCUGGAGGCUGAGGUAAGAGGAUCACCAAGAGUGUGAAUACAGCCUGGGCUACACAGUGAGUUCAAGAUCACCUAAACUACACGAGACCCUGCCUCAAAACAAAAUCAUAAAAAUAAUUUCAAAACCAUGGUUAUUAGGUUUCUGGUACAUGGUGGAGAGCCAUCUGCCAAGGGUUGCAAGCAUCCAAGAAAAUGAUCAAGAUGAUUUCACCAACUGAAGAAUUAGAAAAGAACAUUGAAAAAUGUAUGGAAAAGCAUCAGAGGAGUCCCUGAAACAACUGAGAAUUUGGCAUAUUAAAGAAACAAAAACAAGACUAAUGUGAUUGGAAUAAAGUCAGAGAGAUAUGAUGUGGCCUCUCUUUAUGUAUUCCAUUUUGUGUAGGAAGAGCAAAUGGUCUUGGAAAGGCACAGGCUGGUUUACGCAUCACAAGCACAACUGAAUACUGUUUGUGAGCUGGAUGAAGCAGGCAAGAGCCAAGAAGGGGAGA
rnacentral:lncRNA from 1 species